ACGAUUAAAGCUCUCUUCGGAGAGUGUAUAGAGUGGCGCACGGGUGAGUAACACGUAAGUAAUCUACCUUCGAGUGGGGAAUAACAUCGGGAAACCGAUGCUAAUACCGCAUAAUGCAGCGGCAUCGCAAGAUGACAGUUGUUAAAGGAAUUUAUUUCGCUUGAAGAGGAGCUUGCGGCAGAUUAGCUUGUUGGUAAGGUAACGGCUUACCAAGGCUACGAUCUGUAUCCGGUCUAAGAGGACGGUCGGACACACUGACACUGAAUAACGGGUCAGACUCCUACGGGAGGCAGCAGUCGGGAAUUUUGGGCAAUGGGCGAAAGCCUGACCCAGCAACGCCGCGUGAAGGAUGAAGUAUUUCGGUAUGUAAACUUCGAAAGAAUAGGAAGAAUAAAUGACGGUACUAUUUAUAAGCUCCGGCUAACUACGUGCCAGCAGCCGCGGUAAUACGUAGGGAGCAAGCGUUGUUCGGAUUUACUGGGCGUAAAGGGCGCGUAGGCGGCGCGGUAAGUCACUUGUGAAAUCUCUGAGCUUAACUCAGAACGGCCAAGUGAUACUGCAGUGCUAGAGUGCAGAAGGGGCAAUCGGAAUUCUUGGUGUAGCGGUGAAAUGCGUAGAUAUCAAGAGGAACACCAGAGGCGAAGGCGGAUUGCUAGGCUGACACUGACGCUGAGGCGCGAAAGCCAGGGGAGCAAACGGGAUUAGAUACCCCGGUAGUCCUGGCCCUAAACGAUGAAUACUUGGUGUCUGGAGUUAUUAUUGCUCCG
rnacentral:rRNA from 1 species